rnacentral:rRNA from 1 species
GACGAACCGUGCGAACGUUAUUCGGAAUCACUGGGCUUAAAGCGCGUGUAGGCGGCCCGGCGCGUCUUUCGCUGAAAUCCCCCGGCUCAACCGGGGAAGGGGCGGGGAUACGGCCGGGCUGGAGGGGGGUAGGGGGAUCGGGAACUUCCGGUGGAGCGGUGAAAUGCGUUGAGAUCGGAAGGAACGCCCGCGGCGAAAGCGCGGCCCUGGACCCCACCUGACGCUGAGACGCGAAAGCCAGGGGAGCGAACGGG